rnacentral:lncRNA from 1 species
GGGUAUUAAGGAGCAUAAUAUAUAUUAUGAGUCCAAAUCUUAAUAGCUUAAGUUUUUGGAAAAAUCGAUUGUCCAACAUGGUAUUAAAGCUUUGUUUAGGGGGAGAUCGUGAGUUCAAAUUUCAACACGUGUUUAUUUCCUUAAUUUAUUGAGUCCAUGGGUAUGCUGGGAAGGGCAUAUUUAUUUCUCCAUGUAGGGAUAUGGAGCACAUGAGAAAGAGGAUGUUGGAGAGCCGAAUAUAGAUUGAGCCUAAAUCCCAAUGAUUUUAGCUUUUAGAAAAGUUGAUUGUCCAAGAAAAUUUUAGGAUGUUUUAUAUUAUUUCUUGCAUAUUUUUUAAUGAAGAUCUAAGGACUUCUAUUUGUUUUAAUGUUUUGAAAACCCCUAACUUCAUUAUUCGUUUGUUUGUUUGUUCAUUUUUUUAAUUGAUAGGUAAACUUUUGUCCAGAUUAGGACUUGAACCUAAAACCUCACAUGCCCUUCCCAACACUUCAUCACUUGUUUUUAAUGCACAACUUGUGAUACACAUUUCGUUUUCUAUAAUUAAUGAUUCUCUUAUUUCCAGCCUACUUCAAUUUGAUUUUAUCAUAAGCACGAUAUUGUGUUUUCCCAUGAUUCCUUCCUAUGGUUCCUUCUGUUUUUCUUUUUCUUUUCUUUUCUUUCCCUUUUUUUAUGUUUGUGUUAUUUUUUUUAUUUUUCUUUUGAGAUUUCCAUUAGUAAUUAGUACUAUAUAUUUUAUGUCUGCAAUAAAGCAUUAUACCCAAUAUUAUUACAAUUUUACAAGUACUUCUAAGAUAAAUACAUAAAUAAACUAUUAUUCCAACAUUAUUUUAAGUACUGAUGAGUUGUAAACAAAACAACCUGAUUAACUAGAGAUUGGAAGACCAUUAAUGGAACUAUAUUUAACCUUAUCAGAACUGAAUGUUCAUUGCAAGAACCAAAGGUUCUUACCAACCCCAAUGAGAGCAACUACAGAUGAGAUAGCAUCUACACGAUGAUGCCAUGCAUUUGCCAUCAUCAGUCCACUACCUUGCCUUUCGCCAGCUCUUUUUGUUAUCCAGUAAAGCCUGUGGGCAAGGAGAAAAAUGAUGAUGAAUCCAAAAGAAUAGCUAUAUCAUAUGAAAAGAGACAACAGAAGUCCAAAUAAAGCAUGAUUAUCCCAGGCAAAUCAUAAAACCUAAUCACAUGAGUAAAAGCACAGAGUUACAGAAAGUAGUGCCUAUAUCUACUGACCAUGAUCAAUUCAUCAAGAAAAAACCUCAUCCAGUUGAAUUCUCAAUUGACUGAACUAAAGUAGAAGUGUGUAGGGGGAGCAUGAAUUAGUAAUUACAAUGCAAAGGACAAUAGUGUGCAAUAAACAAAUUACAAUUGUCGAACGGAGAUAAUACAUAAAAUAGAAAAUCCAAGCAAAGAUAAAUUGAUCUUAAGAAUAAUAGAAUAAGAAAAAAAAUAUUUAGCUAAAAGCUAAAAAUGACAGGUAUACCCUUCUUUAAUAGCUAUAGAUACGACAGUCAUACUCAAAGCUAGUACAGGAUGAUCCACGUCGAUUCCAUGGUGAUGUCCACUAUGGUGAUGGCUAUGCACAUGCUCAUGUGCCAAUGAAUGAUUAAUUACUUCAGGAGCUGCUGAGAGCACGCCCUGCAGAUGACAAACAAUGAACUCUGAGGAAGGAGAGUGAACGUAGCAGACUCUACUACUUUCUGAGACUUAGUAAUUUGUGUUGCUUAACAAUUAUUCAUAAUUUCUUCAACUCCUAGAUACUGAACCAGAUAGAUGCCCCUUGGAAUGGGAACAGAAGAAAGAAAAAUAGUUCAUACCAGUAAAACAUCUACAGCAUGCCAUGCAAUACCUCCAGCUGUUGCCAAAAGCAUACAAGAAAUACCAAGGGCUCCUAGAGUCUCAAACUUACCAUGUCCUGAAAGAUAACAAGAGAUAAAAGCAAUUAAAGAUGUAGAAGCAUCAAGCAUGACAAGCACCAUGAUCUCUAUCAUGGGGGAAGAUAGCAUUAAAUGAUCAAUACAAUAUUAACAACCAUAACAAUUUUAUGCCUAAUAAAAGAGGGAUUUCUGGGAGACAAUGAGGAACAUAUAGCAAAAGGUUCUCUAUAGUCACUUAUCUUAAGGGAAUAAACUGUGAUGGAAGUCAUGCUCUUUAGAUGAUGAUAGCAUCAAACCGGCAUAUAGCACUAGAUGGUGAAGCAGUUCGCCUUGUUUCAUCUAUUUGCCGUUAAUAAAAUAUUUAUUUUAGUUUUGGGGCCAGUUUGACUUCUCAGGUGGAGAUAGCUCCAAGUUAGUGGGUUUUUGGUAAAUUAACUUAAUUACUUAAUAUGACUUAAUGACUUAAUUUAAGUCAUUAGGUAGAUUAAGAAUGUUUGAUAAAAUAAAUUAAUAUUACAACUAAGAGUUAAAAAUAACUUUAAAUAUUAAGUUAAAAUAGUUAACUUAGUGGGCGUUUGGUAAACCAACUUAAUAACUUAAAGUGACUUAAUAACUUAAUUUAAGUUAUUAAGUAAAUUAUGUAUGUGAGUGUUUGGUAAACCAACUUAAUAACUUAAAGUGACUUAAUAAUUUAAUUUAAGUCAUUAAGUAAAUUAAGUAUGUUUGGUAAAAUAACUCAAUGGUAUGACUUAAAGUUAAAAGCAACUUUAAGUAAUAAGUAAAAACAAUUCACUUAUUCUUAAAUCUAAAUUUUCAGUUCACCUUUUUACUCUCAUUUGCCCUAGUUACCUGCAUGAUUUCCUUUGCUACUCCACAACCUCCACUAUUACUCAACUUUUUUUACUUUAGUUAUAAUUUAUGAGGAUAAAUAUGUCAAUUUGAUGAUUUAGAAUUAGUUUUUAGUUAAUUUUAUCAAACAACUUUAAUACUUAAAGUAAUAAUUAAGUAAUAAGUUUUUAAAUCAACAAUUUAAAAAUAAUUUAACUUAAAGUCAACUUAAGUCAUUAAGUAACAAGUAUUAAGUUUUACCAAACACCCCUUAUAUUUGGUAAAAUAACUUAAUAGUAUGACUUAAAGUCAAAAACAAUUUUAAGUAAUAAGUAAAAACAAUUAACUUAUUCUUAAGUCCACAUCUUUAUUUUACCUUUUUACUCUCAUUUGUCCUAGAUACCUCCACGAUCUCUUUUGCUACUCCACAACCUUCAUUGCUACUUAACCUCUUUUGUCCUAAUUAUAAUCUAUGAGGAUAAAUAUAUCAAUUUGAUGAUUUAAAAUAAAUUUUAAAUUAAUUUUAUCAAACAACCUGAAUACUUAAAGUAAGAAUUUAGUAAUAAGUUUUAAGUCAACAACUUAAGUAUAAUUUAACCUAAAGUCAACUCAAAUCAUUAAGUAAUAAGCAUUAAGUUUUACCAAACACCCCCAUAUUCUUAAUCUCAAGAUUCUUUUACUUCAUUUACCCACACCCCCAUAUUCUUAAUCUCAAGAUUCUUUUACUUCAUUUACCCAUGUUUGAUGAUUUUUUUUUUUUUUAAUAAGUAAACAGUAACCAUGUAUUAAAAAGGGAAGCACCAAAAAGCACCCAAAGUACACAGAGAGAGUAUACAAAGGGUGCCAAACCAUGCCAACCAUGUUUGAUGAAAAUAUAUUUUACAACCAUGACUCUACAUUUACAACUAAUAUUUUAUAGUAAAUAUUUUUAUAGUUAUCUCAUGUUUCUACAAUACUUUAAAUAUGACGGUUUAACAAAUAAAUCUAUUACUUAAUAUUAUUGAAGAUAUAAAUAUUAGUUGAGAUCAACGAAGGUCAAUAUCUCAAUUUGAUGAUUUAUAAUAAAAUUUAAGUUAACUUUACCAAACAAUCUUAAUACUUGAAGUAAAAAAUAAGUAAUAAGUUUUAAGUCAACAACUUACAAACAAUUUAACUUAAAGUCAAAUUAAUUCAUUAAUUAAUAAGUAGUAAGUUUUACCCUUUGGUGGUGUUUGUUUUUUGGUUGAAUAGAAAAAGCCAAAUAUUUUGGUUUUUUCUAUUCAGAUAAAAGUAACCUAUUGAUAUCAUGUAACAUAACUAAAGUGAAUUUGUUAUCAAUAGGUUCAGUUUAGUUAUAUUGGAUGAUGUCAACAAAUUACUUUUAGCUGAAUAGAAAAAGCCAAAAUAUUUGGCUUUUUUUAUUCAGCCAAAAAACAAAUACCACCUUAGAAUAUAACUUAAUGCAUGAGCGAAUGAAUCCACCUUGGGUUGUAAAAAAAAUUUACUUCCAAGAAGACAAUGGCAUCUGAGCCUAACCAUCCAAAACUAUAACUUCAGAUAAAACAGAACCUUUUCUCCAUCACUGCCCUUUACAUCGAUAUUUACCCCUUCAUAUAGAGUUAUUCUCAAAUUGAUGACUAACCCAGUAUACACUUGCAAGCUGCAAAGACCCAAAAGCACACUAAAAACCCUAAAAAAACCUUCUAAAACAGACUUCUAGGAAUUGUAUUUGGUUCUGCUUCAUGAGUGAAAGCAACUUCCUUACAGGAAUUAAUCAGUUUACUUCAUUCUUUUCACAUAGCAAGAAACAUCCAAAGUAGCCUACGGAAUCAUCAUAUAUGUGGCUUCUUCAAAACUAUGAUAGAAAGAUAAAAACCAGGAACAACUUUUACAGGGUCAAAGGGCAUAAGCAAACCCUUGAUAAGAAUAAACUACUCUUCACACUCUUCUACCUUAUUAAAAAUAUCAAUAACAAUAAAAAUGGCAGUAAAGUAAGGCUAAAUAUGCAUAAUCAAAUCAAUGGAGUAGCUCGUAGGUACAAAUAAAGAGUGACCAUAUGGGUGUUCUUUGUCCUUAGGAGCCUUUGCAACUUUAUACGACCAUAAUGCGACACCGCUAAGAACCUGAAACAUACAGGAAGUAAUGCUGGUGAGCAAAAUCAACUUAGUAAUUACCACCACAAAAAAAGACCUAAAAUUAGAACAAAGAAAAACCUGAUCCCAAAAUUCUUCCAGCACACAAUUCAAGGGAACAAAAGAUGCAUUAGGUCUACCCAAUCAUCAAGAUGAUAUUACAUUAAUACACUCCAUCAUCAAAAUGAUUUUGAUGAACAAUUAAGGAACAAUCAAUCAAGCAAUCAAAUCCAUACAACCCAUUUCAAAUCGCUGAAUUAAGGCAUCGUUUAACUGAAUUGAAUUCCUAGCAAAUUAUAAAGAAGAAAGGCAAAUUGCAUUACCACAUCGGAGGCAGAAUGCGCUGCAUCGGCGAUAAUGGCGGUGCUGCCAGAUAAAUAGCCGGUUAAAGUUUUCCCGGUUACCAACCCGAUGUCGGCAAAGAGACCCAGCCGAAAAAUGCUCUCUCCAACCUCGCUGCUGUGGUGGUGCUGGUGGUCAUGGUGGUUGUGGGAGUGGCCAAAAUGCCACCUUCUGGGGACUCUAAAAAUGGGGUUGUGGGGAAAGAUUGAAGAAGGGUCAUAUGAUUGAGGAAUGAAGGAUCGAGUAGUGGGGUUUGGAAAAUUAGGGGUUUGGAGAAGGGUUCCGUGGGUGUGACUUGAAAUUCUUGAGACGAGGGUUUUGUGAAUGGAAUUGAGAUUUUGGAACCUGAAACCCAUUGCUGCACAAAAUCUCAAUUGGAAGAGAAAGUAGUUUGCAGAUACAGGAGGGCAGAGAUCUGGUGCUUCUGUCUUACGAUAAACCAGUGCAACAGCCAAUGUCUGUACAUGCAUUGGGUUUUUUAUUUUCUGUUCAUUUUAACAUUUUUGGGCUAAAAAUACCAAAUUAGAGGUAUCGUAUUGUAAAUAAAUUUAAUUUCUUUCAUUUUAAAUUUUGUUUACCAAAUUCUUUCUUCUCCUUUUUUUUUUCAUGAUUUGAUUCUAAUCAGAACAUGGUAUUAUAUAUAAAAGCGGUUUUUUCUUAAUUGAAAAAAAUUUCAUGGACACAAAUUCGAUAUUUUGUGAUCCACAGCUGUCACUCUUUUUACUUCACUAAGGAUUCGAGAUCAAUUGAGAAUAAAGUAAAAGGUCUCAGAAAUGGAAUAAAACAUUGAUAUAUUCCCAAAAAUAAUUGAAUGUCCACUUCAUAAUUGAGUGGGUAUCUGCUCUUGGGCCAGCUCCCAAGCAACUCAGAACCAGAAGAUGUGUCAAUGGACCCAAGAUCCCAUUAGGGCCUUAAGUCCAACAGACAAGUCCAGGGUAUAUGUCCAACCCCCAUUAAGUCUUUGAAUUCAUUUGGUAUACUCAGAGGUCAAGCAACCAAGAAUGUGAGGUCCAAUUCAUAUUCUUUACUUCUAUAUUUAUCAGUGUUCCAUUUAAAGCCAUCUGGGACCAACUUUCCAAUGAAGCCCAAAGCCCAAAUUUUCCCAUCAAGAGAAAGAUAUAAGAAAAUUUUUGCAAGUUUUAAAUGCUUUUACCAAAUGAAAUCUCCAAAGAAGGUAUUGAAUAUCCUCACAGUUGCAAUUGUAGUUUAAGGAAAAAAAAGGGCAUAAUCAGCUACUCUUAAAUGCUCUCCCAUUCAAAGGCUUGAGGCAAAGUUUCAUCAACUUUCCAACUCCAUUUCUCUGUAUUCUGGAUACAGCCCUAACCUUUGAGACCCAGUUCCCAAAACACAUCUACAUAGGCCUCACCGCCUCCGGUCGCGCCACCUCCUGUUUCCAUACUUAUUAUUAUGGUCCCGGUACCCAGACGAGUUCCGGUGCUGGUGUCUCAGUCGCUCAGGCCCAUAGUUCCGCCCGGAACUCAUUCUGGGCUCCAAAGGGUUGUGGCCACCCAACAUGUACUCUGGAGUCCUGCUAGGACUGCCCUCAGGACUCCAUGUUUCAAAAUCAUCCUCAAACACAUAUUCAUUUCGUUCUCGGGAAGGAGCUGUCAGCGGGGGAUGCUGCAAAGCUCCUCCAACCGGUAAAUUAUAAUUGUUUUGAUUAAGAGGAUUCGAAGCCAAACCCUGUCUACCUCUCCAGGAAUCCGGCACAGGGCCUAGAUUUCCCAUUGGCAUAGUAUGGUGUAGAGGAUGCGGAGGCUCGGGUGGUAACAUGGAUGAUGGCUGUUGCUGUGUUAACGGCCGUGUUGGCCUUGGCAGCAUUUGUGGCACUGAGUAUGAAAUCGGCCCUCUCUCCGGUGCAUUCAUUACAACAGAUCCGGGUUUAUGGUUGCUUAAGGUUUCAACUCUCACUGAAGGUGCUGCGGCUGCCAAUAGGCGUGGCAAGGGAAUGCCACCAGCAGGGAAAUUGUUCAUGUUGAGGACUAUUUCCGGGGUGGUUGACUGCAAAACCGAAGAGUUGGGAGGAGGGUUCUGGUGUAGAGAGGGGACUGUUGAAGGCAGUCGCUUUUCAGGUAAGACAGAAGUUGUUUGAGGGAGUGAAAAUGAUGGCAGCAUUGCCGAGGGAGGCGGCUGUUGGGACAAUGGUGGGAAAUUUGCUGGUUGUUGAGGCGGUGGGAUGACAGCCGGAGUUUGGGGCGGCAGAACCAAGUUGGUGGCGGGAAGCUGCCUUUGGGGUGGAGGCCCGGUGAUAUCGAUGUUGGCCAUUGAAACUUGUCGUGCAGGUCCGGUGAAAUCAACUCCUGGUGAAGAUGCAUACAUAUCUCUGCUGUUCACCGUUAAACCUUGCCGCGAAAAAGGGUUCUUGGCAAAUUCUGGUCUCCAUCCACUCUGUAAACAAAACCCCAAGAAAAUUUUCAUUAAUAAAUAAUUAUUAUUGAUCCAUAUUAACAUAAAAAAAAAAUUAAAAUUUUCAAAUUCGGUUAUUCAUCAUCCCCUCGUCCUUCACCACCAUUUAUAUUUUCCAAUGAGAUGAUUGAAAGGUAAUUAAAAAUGAAAGCAAAGAUGGUCAGUGAUCAGCAUCAGUCUUGAUAACUGUUUCAAUGGCACCGCGUAUACGCCAUUCAAGCUUUAACACAAUUCCAGUGACCGGAAAUUAACAAAAGCCUCGAAAAAUCCCAGUGACCGGAAUUUACUGAAACCCAUAUUUUUCUCUGCAAGUUAGUGGUGGGUUUUGGGCAUGGAGAAGAAAAAAGUGGGACCCACAGUCUAAACCCAUCAUGGAACCUUCACCAUUCCAAGUUCUUCAAUGGCAGACAUUUCCCAUUUCCAAAAUCACAGUGGUGGUUACCAACAACUCAUGAAGAAGAGACCAAAAGACUUGUUAAACAGUUCCAUGAUGGGCCAAGAUUUUCAGGCUUUACCACUUCAGUCGAUUUUCACACGAAAAUUUUGAAAAGGAUGGAGAAUGAGAAUUUGAUUCCAAGAAAAAAGAGAAUUGUAUAUAAUAUCUGACAAGUGUUGCAGUGUGAGCAUUAAGUCACGCACCGGUACAGGUACAGGAUUGCUUGAUGGAGUGGGCGAUGGAAGGGAAACCUCAACCUUCUCCUCCGCCUUUCUACCCAACCCAUUCAAAGUACCCAGGGAGCCAACCCCAUUUGCCUUGAUCAUGUCCAACAGCCUCACUGUAUCCUCACUUGAUAGGCUACCAGCUUGGCCAUUCAUCAAGGCAAAUACUAGUUCAGGGUUCUUGAGCAGCACACUUAGCAACUCAAAGUCUGGUAGAGCUGCAGAACUAAUAUUACUGCUACUUGCGUUGCCAGCAUGUGAUGAAGAGCUGGGCUCUGGAGCAACAACAGCAACUGCAAUUUUUUC